rnacentral:lncRNA from 1 species
GUUCUUUCUCUCAAAUAAGUCCACCACAUGACCAAACAACUUACCCCAUGAAUCCUUCUAAAUUAUAUGUGGGGUACUUCCUCAUAUUCCUCUCUUUCUUUAUGCAAAUCUAAUGUCAAUUUCAACCCUUUAUCUUAAUGAUAUUUUAUUUAUGUGCUUUCUGUCUCAGAGGAGUUGGGGGCUUCCUUUCUGUGCCAAAAUCCAACACCAUAAGACAACUGAAUAGGUACUCAUCGAUCA